rnacentral:lncRNA from 1 species
CCUCCACUCACUCAGGGCAGUCUUAGAGCAGAAUACCUGCCUCCUUGUCCCAGCAAUGGACCAGAUUCUUGCUCAUUAUCCAUAACAGUGCAUUUGGCUGGGUGCCUAUUUAUUUCCUCUGCUUACUCAGCUAAAAUAUGUUGUCUGGAACGAUUUCAACCAUCAACUUCAAGAAAGCAAUCUGAGGGCGGUGUUUGAAGACGGAGACAUAUUAUUGACACAUGCUACAAAUCCACAGUUCACGUCGUUCCCAUGAGUCUUGUGCCAGUUUCUCUCUCAUCAGGCACCAAAAUAAGAAAAGAUGACACCCCACAGCACAAAAGCAGCCCAUCAAACAACCAAGACGCCGACAUGCUCAGCAGGACUACAGGAAAGCUGCCGUCUCGCCUGUCAGAUGUAACCUUUUCUUCUCUGUCCUGGGCUUUUCUGAAAAGGUUAUUCGCACCCGAGGGGAAUUCCAGAAACCUGUGUGAUCUUGGUAACACCAUUGUGCCUUCUAAACCUAAAGCCUCGCCACCACCAUCUCCUGAGAGACCAGUAGAAGAGCCCCGCCUGGUUUGCUUCACUCACCCAGAUGCCUGCUUCCUUCUGUACAAGCCUCCUUCGCUAGCUGCCUCCCAUCUCCAUCUCCUGAAGUGUUAGUGCUAGUCCUUGGUUGUAUCCAACUCUUUGCAACCCCAUGGACUGUAGCCUGCCAGGCUCUCUGUCCAUGGAAUUCUCCAGGCAAGAACACUGGAGUAGGUAGCCAUCCCUUCUCCAAGGGAUCAUCCUGACCCAGGAAUCAAAUCCGGGUCUCCUACAUUGCAGGCAGAUUCUUUACCAACUGAGCUACAAGGAAGCCUUCUUCAUUUCUUGAAACCUUUCCAAAUCCAAAAUCCAAAUCCAGCAUGCCGUUGUACAAAGUCUGGUUGCUUUUUCCUAACCUAAAGGUAGAGUAAAGGCUGUCCUUUCCUGGAAGGAUCUCUCCUCUGCCCAACCUGCUCCCAAAACAGAAACUGGUUGCGGGACUUCCCUGGUAGUCCAGUGGUUAAGACUCCACCUUGAAAUUCAGGGGACACAAGUUCAGUCCCUGGUCUGGGAACUAAGAUCCCACAUGCCAUGGAGCAACUAAGCCCCCAGCUCCAGUGCUACAACUAGAGAGCCCGUGUACCGACACAAAAGAUCCCGCAUGAUGCAGUGAAGGUUCUGUGUACCCCAACUAAGACCCGAUGCAGCCAAACAAAUACAUAAAUAAAACUUUUUAAUAAAAUAUUUUUAAAAAUUGG